UGCGAGUAAGGCGAUGAAGCUCGCCUCAAAUGCCGCCCCUGGCUAAUGGCUUCUACCCAGUG
rnacentral:ncRNA from 1 species